rnacentral:tRNA from 1 species
UCUAUUUCGGUGUAAGGCACGGGAGAAUUUGAGUCUCUUGGAGGGAUACUUCCCAAACAGAA